GAAGAAAACUUGAAUACUUCUAAGUAUUAAUAAAGUUUAAUAAAAAUACAAAAUUUCUUUAACACUGUCUUUAGAUAUGGUUUUAGAAGAUGUGACUGAAUAUGAAAGCACUCCAGAAGGUCGAAGAGUCACAAAAUUAGAUGAAAUUUUGUUGAAUGGCAAUAACAUAACAAUGAUGGUACCUGGAGGCGAUAUGCCUGAUACCUAAUUAAAUUUAUCUAAUAUUUAUGUUUCCAUCUUGUGAAUGUAAAAAAUAUGUAAUAAAAGUUUUUGUGAGCUAAAAUUUCUUUUAAAUUUUUAUAUAGCUUGUUUUGAAAGUUUCUGAAUCUUAUUGACAUAU